UACGUAGGGCGCAAGCGUUAUCCGGAUUUAUUGGGCGUAAAGAGCUCGUAGGCGGCUUGUCGCGUCGACUGUGAAAACCCGCGGCUCAACCGCGGGCCUGCAGUCGAUACGGGCAGGCUAGAGUUCGGUAGGGGGAGACUGGAAUUCCUGGUGUAGCGGUGAAAUGCGCAGAUAUCAGGAGGAACACCGAGUGGCGAAGGCAUCCC
rnacentral:rRNA from 1 species